rnacentral:rRNA from 1 species
AUUGAACGCUGGCGGCAUGCCUUACACAUGCAAGUCGAACGGUAACAGGUUAAGCUGACGAGUGGCGAACGGGUGAGUAAUGUAUCGGAACGUGCCCAGUCGUGGGGGAUAACUGCUCGAAAGAGCAGCUAAUACCGCAUACGACCUGAGGGUGAAAGCGGGGGAUCGCAAGACCUCGCGCGAUUGGAGCGGCCGAUAUCAGAUUAGGUAGUUGGUGAGGUAAAGGCUCACCAAGCCGACGAUCUGUAGCUGGUCUGAGAGGACGACCAGCCACACUGGGACUGAGACACGGCCCAGACUCCUACGGGAGGCAGCAGUGGGGAAUUUUGGACAAAGGGCGCAAGCCUGAUCCAGCCAUGCUGCGUGCGGGAAGAAGGCCUUCGGGUUGUAAACCGCUUUUGUCAGGGAAGAAAAGGUUCUGGCUAAUACCUGGGACUCAUGACGGUACCUGAAGAAUAAGCACCGGCUAACUACGUG